rnacentral:rRNA from 1 species
AUGGUUGUUAUUAGCAGAAAUGUUAUCUUUAAUGAAUCUGCUAUGUUACAUGAUGUUUCAUCUACUAAUGUUCCCGUUGAGAGUGAACAACAGCCUAUUGUUCAGGAGCCUACUGUUCAGGUGGAGCAUGUUAUUGAUUCUGGUGAUACAUCUGGUAAUGAAAUUGUUGAUGCACAUGAUGAACCCGUCGUUAAUGAUGAUAAUGUCACUCCCACUCUAAAUCAGCCUAUUGUUCCGCCCAGUUGGAAUCUCGCACGUGACAGAGUUAGACGGGGUAUUAAUAAACCUGACAGGUUAAUUGAAGAGUGCAAUAUUGUUUCUUUUGCUUUAUCUGUUGCAGAAGAAAUUGAAGGUAAUGUUGAGACUUCUUCAUAUUCCGAGGCUAUUAUUUCUAGUGAUAGUAUUAAGUGGAUGACUGCUAUGCAUGAUGAGAUGAAAUCACUUGAAAAGAAUGGCACUUGGGAUUUAGUAAGAUUACCUAGAGAGAAGAAACCUAUUCGUUGCAAGUGGGUUUUCAAGAGGAAAGAAGGUGUUUCUCCUAAUGAUGAGACAAGAUAUAAAGCAAGGUUAGUUGCUAAAGGUUACAGUCAAAUUUCAGGUAUUGACUAUAACGAAGUCUUUUCUCCUGUGUGA